AGGAGGAUAUGAUCGUCACAUCACUAUUUUUUCACCGGAGGGCCGUCUUUUUCAAGUGGGUAUGUGUUUUGCCAACAUUCGUAAAUAUCAUCCAUUUCCAUUGAUAUUUCGGUUUGAUCGUUAUAAUCCUCAUUACGAUAUCUCUUCAGCUGAAUUGCUUAUGUUGCUCCUCUGAAGUUGAAAUUAUUGGUUGAUGGAUCUCAUAGCUUAACUCUGUUGAUCCUUGUCAAUGAAAUAUAGAGGUUAAAAAAUUUACGAAUUUAUUUUCAUUUUAUUAUUUGAGGUAAUUUUGCUGCCGAGUUAUGACUGAUAUGCAAUAUUAGUGUAAGUCUUCCCUGUUCUGAGUAUUUUUUUUUUAAAUUAGAAGUAGAUUGAUCUAAGGCUGUUUUUGAUGUAAAUAUAUUCCUUUUUCCAGCAUUUUCUCAGUUCUGCUUAUAGAGUAUUUAAUAGCUACUUUGCUUCCUCCCCCCUACCACCCUAGCAUGCUUAAUAGGUGGUAUUUAUUUGCUCUAAUGGGUCUGGUUUUCCAACUGAACAUACAGAGUAUGCUUUUAAGGCUGUUAAG
rnacentral:misc_RNA from 1 species